UGAAACAUAGCUUAACAUAAAGCAAUUCGCUUACACCGAAAAGACGUCAAUUAACCCCCUGCCUGUUUCAAG
rnacentral:tRNA from 1 species